rnacentral:lncRNA from 1 species
AAGACGGCGGACGCGAUUGGACCGCGCCAGAGGCGUCCCCGCCGCUGCCUGCCGCCGCUCGCGCGGCUGCCGCCCGCCUCCGGCGCCGCUGACCCCACCGCCCAUGUCCUCACACCGGGAAACGCUGCGGGAAAUCGCGCUGAGAGCGUGGUGUCGGCGUCGGAGCUCAGGCAGCCGAAUAGACAGAGGGGCCUUAAUGCUACCACACCCAAGAUGGCGGCUUGACCGGAAGUAGCUUCUGCCAGCACCCAAGAUGGCGACGAAGGGAGGCCGUCACAUGGUGCCGCACCAAAGAUGGCGAUUCGGCACGCGGCUUAUUUGACCUUCCAAAGGUGGCGGCGUCAGGCGCAUGCGUCUUGGGCAGGGACAAACACUGUUAGGGAGGAAGGACCCCGCUCCGUCUAUUCGGCUGCCUGAACGCCACCCUGACGCCGAUCCAGCGCUUUCAGCGCGAUUUUCCGUGGCGCUUCCCGGUGUGUGGACACGGGCUCUGGGGUCAGCGGCGCCGGGGGCGGGCGGGAGCCGCGCCAGCACCGGCAGGCAGCGGCGGGGACGCCUCUGUACCGGUCGCGCCGCGCCGCUCCCACGAGAAGCCCUCGGGGCACGCGCUGCCGCCGCCCCGCGCUCCCCUGCGGCCCGGGGAAAUGUGGGAAAACACAAAAUCAUCGAGGAAGAGCACUCACCGGGGCUGCCUCAGCCAUCCCCCUGCCCGAAGGGCGGCAGCCGCCCAGAGGCGGGAGCAGCCCGCAAGGAUGCAGCUGCUCUUUCCCAGGAGCCCAGGACUAAGUUGACGUUCCCUGAGUGGCUGCAGUUCCCUGGAUGUGGAGAGAGGAGGUCUCUGCCAGAGUGGGGGAAAUGUCCCUGCUGGUUGCUGUGUCCGCAGUGGGCAGAGAACACUGAUCUUGGCAAGAUGGGUUUUUCCUCCCAGUGGGUCUGUGCUGCUGGAAGUACAAAGGAGAUCAGUCUUGGAGUACCUGUUUGUUCACCUGUGGGGCUUGGGAGAGACAUUGGACAUGGAAUUCCAGGGAUGUUCCCCUUGCUGGAGUGAGAAGCAGUGGAAGCUGUUUGCUGUCUGCUUCUUCAUCCCUUUCACCUCGGUCCCAUGGGGUCCCAGGUAAUCCCCUCUCACCUUUGCUUUUCCAUGGGUCUCUAAAUGAGGGCUUGAGCUUUGCUGUAGGUCCCGUUUAUAGGGAGGGCCUAUUCCAGGAAAUGUUUCAUGGUCUGGACUGAUGCCACUGCAGGAAGAGCAGAAAACCCCACAGUUGCUGUGGCUCACUCAUC